UACGGGGGGAGCAAGCGUUGUUCGGAUUUACUGGGCGUAAAGGGCGCGUAGGCGGCCAGCACAAGUCAGUUGUGAAAUCUCCGAGCUUAACUCGGAAAGGUCAACUGAUACUGUGCGGCUAGAGUGCGGAAGGGGCAACUGGAAUUCUUGGUGUAGCGGUGAAAUGCGUAGAUAUCGGGAGGAACACCUGUGGCGAAAGCGGCUCACUGGAUCUCUUCUGACGCUCAGGCACGAAAGCCAGGGGAGCGAACGGG
rnacentral:rRNA from 1 species